UCGGCGACUAGGCGUGAUUAGGGGGAUUUGGAGAUCGAAUCUUGAUCUCAAAUUUCGUAAAUUUAGGAUUCUCUGGGGGGUUUUUGCAAUUUUCCCAAGGCCUAUAAAUAGUGAGGAGGUUUUCCCCAAACCCUCACAACACUUCUUUGCCCUUCUCGAUCGCUCAGACCCCCCGAUCCUUGAAUCGCCGAUUCCUUGAUCUUCAAGCUUUAAUUCAGCGAUUCGCAAGAUGUCUCCCACCGAUUCCCCUUUGAGAGAAUCCGAAACGUCAGCUUUUGUUGCUGACUUGAUGGAAGUUGAUAACUUGGACAGGGUGCUGAACGACGUUGAGUCGCCGAUUCCCUCUCCUGACAGGGAGGUUGAGUCGACGAUUCCGUUUGUUCCACCUCAUAAUCUGGAGUUGAGUGCCACCGUGCAUGAGCUACUUGGCG
rnacentral:lncRNA from 1 species